rnacentral:rRNA from 1 species
CUUGGUCAUUUAGAGGAAGUAAAAGUCGUAACAAGGUUUCCGUAGGUGAACCUGCGGAAGGAUCAUUCAUAAUAAGUGUUUUAUGGCACUUUUUAAAUCCAUAUCCACCUUGUGUGCAAUGUCAGUCGAUCUUCUUCAUGGAGAUCGACCAAACAUCAACCUUUAUUUUUUAACUCUUUGUCUGAAAAAUAUUAUGAAUAAACAAUUCAAAAUACAACUUUCAACAACGGAUCUCUUGGCUCUCGCAUCGAUGAAGAACGCAGCGAAAUGCGAUACGUAAUGUGAAUUGCAGAAUUCAGUGAAUCAUCGAAUCUUUGAACGCAUAUUGCGCUCUUUGGUAUUCCGAAGAGCAUGCUUGUUUGAGUAUCAGUAAACACCUCAAAGCUUUUGGAUUUAUUAAUCGAAAAGCUUUGGACUUGAGCAAUCCCAACACCAAUCUUUUUGAGAUCGGUGGCGGGUUGCUUGAAAUGCAGGUGCAGCUGGACAUUCUCCUGAGCUAAAAGCAUAUUCAUUUAGUCCCGUCAAACGGAUUAUUACUUUUGCUGCAGCUAACAUAAAGGGAGUUUGACCGUAUUGGCUGACUGAUGCAGGAUUUCACAAGGGUCGGCAACGAUUCUUGUUAAACUCGAUCUCAAAUCAAGUAAGACUACCCGCUGAACUUAAGCAUAUCAAUAAGCGGAGGA